GAUGAACGCUAGCGGUGCGCCUAACACAUGCAAGUCGAGCGAUAUAGCGGCGAACGGGUGAGUAACACGUUGGAACCUGCCCCGAACUCAGGGAUAGCCUGCCGAAAGGCGGAUUAAUACCGGAUAGUCCCGCAAGGGUAAAGAUUUUUCGGUUCGGGAGGGGCCUGCGUAAUAUCAGCUAGUUGGUAGGGUAACGGCCUACCAAGGCUAUGACGUUUAGCUGGUCUGAGAGGACGACCAGCCACAAUGGGACUGAGACACGGCCCAUACUCCUACGGGAGGCAGCAGUGAGGAAUCUUCCGCAAUGGGCGAAAGCCUGACGGAGCGACACCGCGUGAAGGAUGAAGGCCUUUUGGUUGUAAACUUCUUUUCUGAAGGAAUAAAUGAUGAAGUUACUUCAGGAAUAAGCACCGGCUAACUACGUG
rnacentral:rRNA from 1 species